UCGCGGGCUAAACCAUUACACCCCAGCACCGCUUCGAAGGCUAUCGCUUCGAAGGCUAUGCUAGGCAGUCGAUAAUGAAAUUAUCGACAGCCUACAUCCCUACCAGUUCCUUAUCUUGACACUUGGUGACGUUUGACAUUGACGUUUAGUUUACUUGGUUGAUCAUGAUCACUGCCGCCGUACCGCUUCCAAAAAAUGUUUUAUUUUGUACUAGAUGUUGCCCGGGGCUUCGCUCUCAUGGGAAAUUUGAGAUAAAAUAUAGCCUAUAGCAAUCUUGGAAAAUAUACCUUUCUAAUUAUGAAAGAAUUUUUGAAAUCGGUUCGGUAGUUUAGGAGAUUACCCGCUUCAAACAUACAAAGUCACCUUUACAUCCUUGAUAGUGGUGUACCUACACUUUCGACCUUCGACGCGACGAUGGUUUCGUGUCAAACUGAUUGACAAAUAUUCAAGAAAAAUAUCUCAUUUCAUUCAAUGGCCAUUGAUAUAUUAAAAUAAGCAUAAGUACCUAACGUUUUAGCUUGUGUUUACUCACAUUUAUUAUUUGUGAUUUGAUUUCGUAAACUUCAAAUUACGUUUAACGAAGCUAUAGUACUUAGUUCCAGAACAUUUUGGGGAUAAUGUCUUUCCUACGUACAUAUAAGUCUGUGGUUUUUACCAUCUUUAAAUGAUCUUUCCGAUGAAUGAAAGUUCCAUAUUAGGAGUAAAUAUUUUUUUCAUAUAAAACUACAUACCUGCGACAUGGCCCCCACAGUAAAAACCGCCUGAGCAAUCGCAACCGCAUGUAACAAAUUACAUGAAAAUAACAAGAACUAUCUUCAAUAAAUUUCCCGCUGCGAAAGUCUGUUGCUUCUGUAUAUUAUUAAGAGCAGGUACUAUCGUCAUCUCUUUCCUAGGUAUAGGAGUAAGCAUUAUAUAUGUAUUGCAAUAUUUCUUUGGAAAAAAACUUUUAACUGAUCAGGGUAUAGAUAGUUCCGUUGCAAAUAUAGUAGUAACCGGGUACCUAGUUCUUGGUGUUUAUGUACUGAUAUUACAUGUUGUUCUACUAGUAUCUAGUUUCACAUUUACUGAAGAACAGAUUAUUACUUAUUUAUGGGGUAUGUUAGUUUAUUUUGUUGUAGAUGUAAUUCUUAUAUUAUCUAUAGCGAUAUCAGCAUUUUUAUCUCAAGCGAUCGUAUUAGGUACCUUAAUUUUAUUGGCGGAUAUAUGUUACUGGUUAUUUAUCUUCAUAAUGUUGCUCCCCGUUGUUAAUGGUUUUAGAAAAAGUAUAUAUACGGUCGUAAUCAAAAUAGUUUGAAUUUGAUCUCAAUAUUGUGUAAAUUGAUAAGACAAGAAUAUCACUCCUCAAUAGUAAGUACCAUCUGUAUUAGGGUAUUACGUAAACAAAAUAUGUACCUUUACCCUAUUGAAAUAUAUUAAAACUCCUAAGACAAAUAAUACUACUUAUACAUUUUUUAAUUAUGUAAUUAUAUAAGUACCUACAAAAUUUCUUACAUAGGUUAUGUACUGUUUUGUAUUUACAUGUAUUGAAGGCAAGGAUUUUUGUUAAAUAAGAGAU